UUAAGCAUAUCAAUAAGCGGAGGAAAAGAAACUAACAAGGAUUCCCCUAGUAACUGCGAGUGAAGCGGGAAGAGCUCAAAUUUAAAAUCUGGCUGCCUCUGGUUGCCCGAGUUGUAGUCUGGAGAAGCGUUUUCCGUGUUGGACCGUGUAUAAGUCUCUUGGAACAGGGCGUCAUAGAGGGUGAGAAUCCCGUCUUUGACACGGACUACCAAUGCUUUGUGAUGCGCUCUCAAAGAGUCGAGUUGUUUGGGAAUGCAGCUCAAAAUGGGUGGUAAAUUCCAUCUAAAGCUAAAUAUAGGCGAGAGACCGAUAGCGAACAAGUACCGUGAGGGAAAGAUGAAAAGCACUUUGGAAAGAGAGUUAAACAGUACGUGAAAUUGCUGAAAGGGAAACGCUUGAAGUCAGUCGUGUCUGCCAGGACUCAGCCUCGCUUCUGCUUGGUGUACUUUCUGGUUGGAUGGGCCAACAUCAAUUUCGAUCGUUGGAGAAAGGCUUUGGGAACGUGGCACCUUCGGGUGUGUUAUAGCCCUUUGUCGUAUGCAACGGUUGGGAUUGAGGACUGCAGCACGCCUUUAUGGCCGGGGUUCGCCCACGUACGUGCUUAGGAUGUUGGCAUAAUGGCUUUAAGCGACCCGUCUU
rnacentral:rRNA from 1 species